GUUGGUUGCAUAACAGGGUGACUUGGUCAUACAUACCCCUCUCUUCAUCGAGGUUACAACUUCACUAAAGCAGAGGAGAAGAUCUUGGAAAUCUUAGGUACGGUUUGUUGAGGAUAUUUUUGAAGCACUACUUGUCUUGUCUGCAGAUGCAUGCUGCUCUAUAUAAAUAGUAUUCUAAGACCAUAAUCAACUUCAAAUUAUCACACCAAACUCUUGA